GUCUACGGCCAUACACUCUGAACGCACCCAAUCUUGACUGACCUCAGAAGCUACGCAGGGUGAGGUCUCAUUAGUACUUGGAUGGGAGACUGCCUGGGAAUACAAGGUGCUGCAGGCU
ensembl:rRNA 5S_rRNA 5S ribosomal RNA